AUUGAACGCUGGCGGCAGGCCUAACACAUGCAAGUCGAGCGAGCGGCGGACGGGUGAGUAAUGUCUGGGAAACUGCCUGAUGGAGGGGGAUAACUACUGGAAACGGUAGCUAAUACCGCAUACCAUCAGAUGUGCCCCGAUGGGAUUAGCUGGUGGGGGGGGUAACGGCUCACCUAGGCGACGAUCCCUAGCCGGUCUGAGAGGAUGACCAGCCACACUGGGACUGAGACACGGUCCAGACUCCUACGGGAGGCAGCAGUGGGGAAUAUUGGACAAUGGGCGCAAGCCUGAUGCAGCCAUGCCGCGUGUGUGAAGAAGGCCUUCGGGUUGUAAAGCUCUGUCGGCAGGGAGGCGUUACCCGAAGAAGAAGCAACGGCUAACUCCGUGCCAGCAGCCGCGGUAAUUC
rnacentral:rRNA from 1 species